ACGCUCGACACCUACGGGGGCAGCAGUGGGGAAUAUUGCACAAUGGGGGAAACCCUGAUGCAGCGACGCCGCGUGAAGGAAGAAGUAUCUCGGUAUGUAAACUUCUAUCAGCAGGGAAGAAAGUGACGGUACCUGACUAAGAAGCCCCGGCUAACUACGUGCCAGCAGCCGCGGUAAUCUGAGCGGGCUGGCAAGGC
rnacentral:rRNA from 1 species